GGUUAAAAGAGAGACAAAAAUAUUUAUGAACAAUUCAAACUUCCAUCCAUAAUUAAUCAUGUGAUAAUGAACAGUCCAUGUUCCCAUGCAUGCAUUUCUGUCAGCGAAAGAGAAAACAGAGGGGCAACUGGACAGGCAGUCUUGUAGAUGUACUCAAACUCUUUUGAUAUGCACAAAUUUAAUAUGAGUGUGUAAAAGAAAAGUUAUCACAUACUCUACAUCAUAUUCAAGUCAAGCACACAUGCUUCAUUAAGUCAAAACGUCAUGAAACGUAUAAGUACUUUGAUAUGUCAUAACAGCAAAAUAGAAAUUCUGUCUGCAAGGAUAAUUGCAUAUAUCUUCUACUUUGUUAA
rnacentral:misc_RNA from 1 species